rnacentral:tRNA from 1 species
GGACCCGUAGCUUAACUGGAUAGAGCAUCUGACUACGGAUCAGAAGGUUAGGGGUUCGACUCCCUUCGGGUCCG